rfam:Buceros rhinoceros silvestris contig36388, whole genome shotgun sequence.
CCAACGGCUCUUUUAAGAGCCACCCAAGCUUUCUC